rnacentral:rRNA from 1 species
AGAGUUUGAUCCUGGCUCAGGACGAACGCUGGCGGCGCGCCUAACACAUGCAAGUCGAACGAGCGAGAGAGAGCUUGCUUUCUCGAGCGAGUGGCGAACGGGUGAGUAACGCGUGAGGAACCUGCCUCAAAGAGGGGGACAACAGUUGGAAACGACUGCUAAUACCGCAUAAGCCCACGGGUCGGCAUCGACCAGAGGGAAAAGGAGCAAUCCGCUUUGAGAUGGCCUCGCGUCCGAUUAGCUAGUUGGUGAGGUAACGGCCCACCAAGGCGACGAUCGGUAGCCGGACUGAGAGGUUGAACGGCCACAUUGGGACUGAGACACGGCCCAGACUCCUACGGGAGGCAGCAGUGGGGAAUAUUGCACAAUGGGGGAAACCCUGAUGCAGCGACGCCGCGUGGAGGAAGAAGGUCUUCGGAUUGUAAACUCCUGUUGUUGAGGAAGAUAAUGACGGUACUCAACAAGGAAGUGACGGCUAACUACGUGCCAGCAGCCGCGGUAAAACGUAGGUCACAAGCGUUGUCCGGAAUUACUGGGUGUAAAGGGAGCGCAGGCGGGAAGACAAGUUGGAAGUGAAAUCCAUGGGCUUAACCCAUGAACUGCUUUCAAAACUGUUUUUCUUGAGUAGUGCAGAGGUAGGCGGAAUUCCCGGUGUAGCGGUGGAAUGCGUAGAUAUCGGGAGGAACACCAGUGGCGAAGGCGGCCUACUGGGCACCAACUGACGCUGAGGCUCGAAAGUGUGGGUAGCAAACAGGAUUAGAUACCCUGGUAGUCCACACCGUAAACGAUGAUUACUAGGUGUUGGAGGAUUGACCCCUUCAGUGCCGCAGUUAACACAAUAAGUAAUCCACCUGGGGAGUACGACCGCAAGGUUGAAACUCAAAGGAAUUGACGGGGGCCCGCACAAGCAGUGGAGUAUGUGGUUUAAUUCGACGCAACGCGAAGAACCUUACCAAGUCUUGACAUCCUGUGACAGACGUAGAAAUACGUUCUUCCUUCGGGACACAGAGACAGGUGGUGCAUGGUUGUCGUCAGCUCGUGUCGUGAGAUGUUGGGUUAAGUCCCGCAACGAGCGCAACCCUUAUGGUCAGUUACUACGCAAGAGGACUCUGGCCAGACUGCCGUUGACAAAACGGAGGAAGGUGGGGAUGACGUCAAAUCAUCAUGCCCUUUAUGACUUGGGCUACACACGUACUACAAUGGCGUUAAACAAAGAGAAGCAAGACCGCGAGGUGGAGCAAAACUCAGAAACAACGUCCCAGUUCGGACUGCAGGCUGCAACUCGCCUGCACGAAGUCGGAAUUGCUAGUAAUCGUGGAUCAGCAUGCCACGGUGAAUACGUUCCCGGGCCUUGUACACACCGCCCGUC